rnacentral:misc_RNA from 1 species
UACGGAGGGUGCAAACGUUGCUCGGAAUCAUUGGGCGUAAAGCGCACGUAGGCGGCUCGCUAAGUCGGAUGUGAAAGCCCUCGGCUCAACCGAGGAAGUGCAUUCGAAACUGGCGAGCUUGAGUACGGGAGAGGGUCGCGGAAUUCCCGGUGUAGAGGUGAAAUUCGUAGAUAUCGGGAGGAACACCAGUGGCGAAGGCGGCGGCCUGGACCGAUACUGACGCUGAGGUGCGAAAGCGUGGGGAGCAAACAGG